rnacentral:rRNA from 1 species
GACGAACGCUGGCGGCGUGCUUAACACAUGCAAGUCGAACGGAAAGGCCCUGCUUUUGUGGGGUGCCCGAGUGGCGAACGGGUGAGUAACACGUGAGUAACCUGCCCUUGUCUUUGGGAUAACUUCAGGAAACUGGGGCUAAUACCGGAUAGGAGAUCCUGCUGCAUGGUGGGGGUUGGAAAGUUUCGGCGGUCGGGGAUGGACGCGCGGCUUAUCGGCUUGUUGGUGGGGUAGUGGCAUACCAAGUAUGUGAAGGGUAGCCGGCCUGAGAGGGUGACCGGCCUCAUUGGUCCUACGGUACGGACCAGACUGCUACGGUGGGCAACGGGGGGGAGUAUGGCACAGUGGGCGGACGCCUGAUGCAGCAGCGCCGCGUGCGGGAUGACGUCCUUCGGGUAGAGAACCGCUUUCGGCUGAGACGAAGCGUGAGUGACGGUAAUGAGUAAAGAAGCACCGGCUAACUACGUG